AGAGUUUGAUCAUGGCUCAGAGCGAACGCUGGCGGCAGGCCUAACACAUGCAAGUCGAGCGCCCGUAGCAAUACGGGAGCGGCAGACGGGAGAGUAACACGUGGGAACGCGCCCUUCGGUUCGGAAUAACUCAGGGAAACUUGAGCUAAUACCGGAUACGCCCUUACGGGGAAAGAUUUAUUGCCGAAGGAACGGCCCGCGUCCGAUUAGCUAGUUGGUGAGGUAAUGGCUCACCAAGGCGACGAUCGGUAGCUGGUCUGAGAGGAUGACCAGCCUCACUGGGACUGAGACACGGCCCAGACUCCUACGGGAGGCAGCAGUGGGGAAUAUUGGACAAUGGGCGCAAGCCUGAUCCAGCCAUGCCGCGUGGAUGAUGAAGGCCCUAGGGUUGUAAAGCCCUUUUAACGGGGAAGAUAAUGACGGUACCCGUAGAAUAAGCCCCGGCUAACUUCGUGCCAGCAGCCGCGGUAAUACGAAGGGGGCUAGCGUUGCUCGGAAUUACUGGGCGUAAAGCGCACGUAGGCGGCUUUCUAAGUCGGGGGUGAGAUCCUGGAGCUCAACUCCAGAACUGCCUUCGAUACUGGAGAGCUCGAGUCCGGGAGAGGUGAGUGGAACUGCGAGUGUAGAGGUGAAAUUCGUAGAUAUUCGCAAGAACACCAGUGGCGAAGGCGGCUCACUGGCCCGGUACUGACGCUGAGGUGCGAAAGCGUGGGGAGCAAACAGGAUUAGAUACCCUAGUAGUCC
rnacentral:rRNA from 1 species